CGGCUAGUAUGGCCAUAAUAAGACAACAUGUGAAGUGACUGAUUAAAUUGAGUCACUUUUUGAUAUCAGUCUUAAAUGUUAGCAUAGGGUGUACAUGGGACUCAUUUUAUUUGUGUGAUUCGGCAUUAGUCCCAGUGACACUGUAACUUUUCUGCUCUGUGCAAAUAAGUUUUUCAAAUGUUAUUUUUUUCCGAAAACCUCUCAUUUGUGGUUGUUGUUUGUAUUGUCUAUGGUUUUUUGACAAUUAAAAUGUCACCAAACGUCAAACUUGAAGAAAAUUUUGACUGUUUGGUGCUUUCGAGAGUUUCGAGUGUAUUAUUUUGGUAAUAUUACUUUGCUUUGCGCUACCCCAUGGAUUCAUAUUGGCUCAUUAAACUACUUUAUUGAGUUUCUUGGACAUCGUCUCAUCAAAUGACAUACGACCAAGCUUGCUCCCGACCAAGCACGCUCAGAUUCCUUGGGAGCUCCUGCUAUCGGCAGCCGUCGAUGCAUCGGAUCCCUGAGACGAAGAACAAAAACAGCAUGCCACCUGACUGAUGACCCACCCACUGUCUACCCGGACCCAGGAGCUAGAAGGCCUUGAGAAAAAAGCCCGGGCAGGAUCCUGACGGGCGCAGAAUAUCAUCUUCGAUGCUUGUCCCACGGCCUGACUGAAUAAUAUUUAUAUAAUCAAUGGAAGGAAAAAAACAGUAGAACAUUGAAAUUGGCUUGUAGGCAAGACGGAAGAUGGUCAAAGCCGGUCAGAAAUUGAUGCCCUAGACACGGUUGGAGAGCUCUUGUUGGCAGAAACCACCUGAAUGGUGAAUGGUGGUGCUGAAUGAUGGUCAGAUGACAUUAGCAACCUUGUGGUGAAACAAUGAACUGGAGCGGCACCGAACUGAAAAAGUUGAAAAACUUGGCAUACAUACUAUGAGACCCAUUUGAUGACUGAUAUAAGCAAAUUUCAGACUGAUUAUUGUGAUAGUUGAUAACUAAGAAUACCUAAUAUGCUUUUAUGGUGUGUGAAAUAGUAUACUUUUUAUAAUUUAUUAAUUAAAAGUUUAAUAAAUGUUUUACUUACCUAAA